rnacentral:lncRNA from 1 species
CAUUUUUUGAAUAUCAAGAACUAUUUAAAAUGAAUUAAAAAUAACCAGAAAAGAGAAAAUUCAUAAAAUAUACCAAAUUAUAAAAUAAAAAAUAUUAAAAAUCAGAAAUAGAAACUAGAAUUUAUUUGGGAAACAAUGCAAUUGGUCCCAUAAUUUUUGGAUUAAAAAUGAGAGAGAUAUGAAUUUUUGAAACAAAAUGGAAUUUAAGAAAAU